UUGUGUCUGAGCCUCAUUAAAUUGUAACAUGUGAAGGUGCCCUGCUGGUACAGACUGCAGAAGAGAUGUAUUUAGAAAUUCUGAUGUAGUUGUCACACUCUUUAACAUGGAAGAAAAAUAGCUGAAUCCAUGGAAACAAAUGUCAGCCAGCUAAAACAACAGAAAACUUUAUGGAAGAAGGACAAAGCAAUGUGAGAGUACACAGCAGCCAGCUUCUCCCAACUUUUGAUGUCAGCAUCUGUUUUCUUGAGAGAUUCUGGUUAAUAAAGACAUCCUACAGC